UAUCUAAGAAAGGAAACAUAAAUCACUACAAUCAAGGCACAAUAUCUCAACAAAACCAACCACCAAUUUCAACUAGAUAGGAUUGACAAUAUAACAUACUGUUCAAAUGAUACCAAUAUGCUCGGUCAAGCACCAAUUUUAUAGAAUGGCUCUUACCAAUUUCAGCUAGAUAGGAUUGACAAUAUAACAUAUUGUUCAAAUGAUACCAAUAUGCUCGGUCAAGCACCAAUUUUAUAGAAUGGCUCUUUAUUGAGUUAUGCUCGACUAGAUCAAUUCUUUUUAGUUCUGCGGCCGCUAACGGUUUUCUCCAAUCAUACACAAUUUAAAAGACACCAGACAAUUUUCAAAAGGCACAACAACUUUAUAAGAUCCUGAAAAACCUUCAUAAACAUGGAUUGUGAAAACACAACAAUUUAUAGAUGCCGCGUAUAAUACGAGAUCUUUCCUUAAUGUUUCUAUACAAGUUUCUAUAUUAUUUCUUUCAUUUCAAAUUCAGUAAUUCCCUUUAUAUACUCUCUUUCCGAAGGGGCCCAGGACGUAAUUGAUUGGGUGGUUAAGAAUUAAAAUAAAGGCUUAACUGAAAUAAUAGAAGAGGGUAGAAAUGAUUCAUGUAGAAAGUUAUUAUUAUUAGGGAUCCAAGCAGUAGUUUAGUUAUAAAAAGAAAAUUCUUUUAUUGAAGAUACCACUAGAUGGAGAAUUUUCUCCUUUUAAUGUCUGUCAUUCAAUCAACUAUCAUGGAACAGUUCUCUUUCUCUUGGAAUUAGAUCACUUUCCAUUCUCAAGUCAAUACGCCACACACAUAAUUUAGAUCAUUAAAUUUUUUAAGAAAAAGCCAUGUGAUCCACCCACAUAAAUACAGUACUUAUUGCUGAAGAACACACAUAAGCACAUCUGUUUGUGAGAGACAUUGAUAUGUUACAUUAGUUUAAUAACAGACAAAUAUCAACACAUUUUGCACAUAAAAUUGAGAUAGCAAAACAAAGGAAUGAAAAUAAUGUGCAAACUUGAUCAACUUACAGU
rnacentral:lncRNA from 1 species